rnacentral:lncRNA from 1 species
GCAUGAAGAUUUUUUGGUGCACUCCUUUCUCAUGUGUGGUUCCUUCUUUGGAUAGGAUUAGAUAUCCUAAUUUAGUUAGGACAUGUGGCAUUAUCUAUAAAAGGGAAAGCCACUAAUCACCAUGUGAUAGAAUCUGAUUUUGCAUGACAAAAGAAAGAGAGAGAGCACAGUGAAAAGAUAAGUAGGUUGUGUGACAAAAUAAGGGAAGGGCGGGCGCUAACUCCUUCUUGGCAUGCAGACCUCUUCACAUAUCCUAUCUUGGCAUGAAGAC